AGGCGCCAUUGGAACCUACCCUUUAUUCCUGGAUGCCACCUACGGCUGUCCCAGAAGACUCAGGCCCCAGCAGUCUGAUUCCUGACCAAGGUGGAAGUAUGUUUCAGACUGUAUCCAGAUUUUGUGCCUGUGCCUUUGGAUGGGGAAAGAUGCCUCUUAUCUACUCUAAAGAAAAUACUAACGGCAAACAGUUCUCCUACCCUAUAAGUCCCAGGCCUUAUAAGGUGGGCGUGUGGCUCCCAACUACCAGUCUGCUAUGGUGUAAACUCUCAGAGACUGCCUAUGAAGUCAGUGAUAAAACUGGAGACAUCAAGGGGAUUUUCAGCUUGAUCUGUCCUUUGUGGCAGGUGUUGGACUGUUACCCAGACACCAGUGCUUUGGGAACACAAAUGAGUGGAAUAUGUUUGUAA
rnacentral:lncRNA from 1 species